rnacentral:lncRNA from 1 species
AACAGAUACAGAUUUUUAAGUACCCAAUUGGAAUGAGCAAAUCAUAUACAAAUAUGGCAAUUUGCUCAAGUUAAUUUUCAGCUGGUUAAACCAUGGUAUGAUCUAUGACCAUGCCGUACCAGCCAUAGUGGCCCUAAUAAAUAUCUACAGUCACGAUAUACUUAGCCACAGGCGACUGCUAUAGAUAGCGCAAUACCACUCUCGUCAAUAGGUACAUGAUCAUCCACUAAGAGCGGUUCUCUUACGUCUUUCCAGACCAGAUAGGGGAGGAGGAAACAAAUACCCCGAAUGGCAAGGGAAAUAGAUAUCCCUCAGAGAUAUAAAGCCUAACGAGACACUUGAUCAACAUGCAUGUCAAUACAAAUGCAUU